rnacentral:piRNA from 1 species
UGCCAGUGUGUUAAGGUGACAUCAGCGU